UACGUAGGGUGCGAGCGUUGUCCGGAUUUAUUGGGCGUAAAGCGUGCGCAGGCGGCCCGUUAAGACAGGUGUGAAAUCCCUGGGCUCAACCUAGGAAUUGCGCUUGUGACUGGCGGGCUCGAGUACGGUAGAGGGGGGUGGAAUUCCUGGUGUAGCAGUGAAAUGCGUAGAGAUCAGGAGGAACACCGAUGGCGAAGGCAGCCCCCUGGGCCUGUACUGACGCUCAUGCACGAAAGCGUGGGGAGCAAACAGG
rnacentral:rRNA from 1 species